rnacentral:rRNA from 1 species
AUGGAGGCGCAAUUGGCAGAUCUGAUCAGAUCGGUUAACGAAGGCCGCGCGGCCAACGACAACCGGCUGGAGGCGAUACAGACGUCACUCGAGCUCUGGUGGACCACCGUCACCAACCUGCAGCAGCAGCUCGACGAGUUGUGCACCCAAGUGGGGCGAAUCGCGCUUCACCCGGCGCUCACGACUCCGGAUCCACCGACGGAGGACACGGUGGGGCGGACGGCGCCGCCUCCAGCGGUCGCCGACCUCAUGCACCACGGGCCCGACGGCCACGACGAUGUCUACAACUCCGGGGGUCUGGCUCAUGGGGUGGUCACCAUCCUACGGCCGCCUCCGGUGAAGGGAGCCGCGGCACGCUGGCUCCAGUUGCACAAAUCGGACAGCAGAUCCUUUACCUGGGAAGGUCUCUGCACCGCUCUGAAUGAGAAAUUUGGUCGCGACCAAUACCAAUUGCAUCUCCGACAGUUUAAUAUGCUGAAGCAAUUUGGGUCGGUUGCGGAAUAUAUGAGUGUCUUUGAGGAGUUGAUGCACAACAUCCUAGCUCACAACCCCAGCUUCGACCCAGUUUAUUUUACUACACAAUUCCUAGAUGGUCUCCGCCCUGAGAUACGGGCAGGCGUGGUUUUGCAUCGUCCCCAAACUUUGGACUCUGCGUGGGUGACCCCAAUGUCUGUGAAGAUUGCCGAUGGAGGAAUGCUUUCAUGCUUAGGAUACAUCCCCGGCUGUACGUGGGUGACACAAGGACACGAGUUUACCACGGAUCUUCGUGUGCUAUCACUGGGAUGUUACGACAUGGUGAUCGGCAUGGACUGGUUAGAGCAAUGCGGGCCGAUGAGAGUCGAUUGGACAAGGAAAACACUGCAGUUUCAGCACUAG